CAAUGUUGGCUUAAUAUACAGAAUACCAUCACGCACGUAACUUAAAAAAAGAUAGGCAAUUACAUUUCUGCUUUACAAUAGCUCAGUUAAGAUUGGUUGCUGAUACCUGUUCUCGGUAAGGUUAUGUCUAGAAAUUCAAAUUCAUCUUGCCAGAUGAUGGGACCUCUCACCUGACUAUCAGUGUUGGCUUCCGCUUGGCAAAAGACAACCAGAAAAAAUGGAGCAAAAAAAGCAAGCUUCAUGUUUAUUGGUGGCCAACCAUUUGUCACGGGUUUUUUUUUACAACGUUCGAUCAACCGUGUGAAAAGGCGUUUAUCAUAAUUUUGAUUUUGACAACCAUCGGAGAGGAAAAUACCUUCAAUGCAGAAUCGUAAGUGUAAAAUAACAUUAUUAAAAAGAAAAAGAUAGCCACAUUAAACGCUGAAACGAGCAAAAUUAACAAUGAUUUCUGCAUAAAUGUUUUCUCGAGAGAAUGGAUAUUCGCCGAAAACCCAGUAGAAAUGCAGCAUUGAACCGUCGUUUACUAAAAUUGAAAUUGUUGUUUAAUUUUUAAAUAUUUGGUACAACCCAUAUAAGCGGCCGCAUACAAUCGGCUUUGGGGAUCUUUACCGGCCACCGUCGUGAGUGACAGAGUAGAAAAUUCUUACCAAAGCCUCACUAAAACGGAGAAUUCAAACGAAAACUACAGAUUUUGAAAUUAAUAUGUUUUCAUGUACUUUGCUGGUAACAUUUCGUCAUAGGCCUACUACCUGGUUUCACAAUCAUUUGAAUUCACCGUUAUUGACCUUGCUUCAUGCUGUUAUCAGGUGUUGCCACUGACUUCGAGUAUAAAAAUUCAAAUUUAUCCGUUGCGCAGAAAACCGCGCAACGGGUAGCAUUCUUGCUGACCAUUUGAAUUUUAAUCAUAUGAAGCUAGACUAUUGUGACCUUUGUUACGGAGUUCUUAUAUAAUCAUGCGUUGUGUGAGUGUGAAGGAAAGACAAAAAAAGACAGAAAACUUUGCAAUAGAACAGAAGAAUUACUGUCAAUCGGGAACAUUUUAAGAUUCUUUACCUCCACUGUCUUCUUCAUCAGGUGUUGAUGGGACCAAGUCAUUUCGGUUAGCUCUAUAUGAGUAUCUUGACAUUUCUUUUUUGAAUUUUCCGUUUUAAAUAUGUCAGCUUUUGUAUAUCUGAAUUUCAUGUGAAGAUAAAGUAAUGUACCAACAGAAAGAAACAGUCCUUACAUGUAAAAUUAACUCCGAAAAAAUCCGAAAAGAAAUACAGAAAUAUGAAAUAAA